AUCCUGUUAUCAUUGCAUUGUAGCUUUUUUUUUUUUUUUUUUUUGCAACAGCGUUUUCUCUCUGGCUGUCUACGAAAGACAUCCCAAAGUCUGCGUGAUUACGUCGAGUCAUGCAAGGAUUCUGGUGGGGUGUCCGGCCUAUCAGUGUUUGGUGCGUAUUUGACGAAUUAAUGAACGAGCGAGCACAUUCACGCAAGAUGGGAGGACUCUAGAAAGCUCCUUCCUCGCACAGACAUGCCCAGGUGGUAGGAGCGGUGAGCCCGGCCCGUGCCUGGGGAAGGAGUCUGCGGUGGUGACGAAGGAGGGGGAAAUACAGUAGGUGGGGGCGGGCGGGGCGAAGCCGUGAAAAUUAGGAGUGGGUGUAAGCGCCAGGGCGCAGCGUGCAGCCAGCCACAGAAAUCGGGCCUCUGCUGGCCCCUGUGCAUAAUUAGUAGCCAGAAAUAGCACCUGAUCGGUGGCCCGGAACGAGCAAGUGUGUUUCCGUGCGGGUCCUCAUGUCUCCACAGCACUGCCCUGCUUUCUUCUUCCUUUCAGACAACAACUAUUUGCAUCCCAAGUGAUGGGUGUCCCAUUCUUUCCAAGCACCAUUCUCCACAGGGAUAGAUGGAAACAGCUGGAACGGAGGGGGGAGACUUUGGCUGUAAACCUAGACAGAGGUUCUCUUCUUCUCUCUGAGCCUCAGUUUCCCCAUCCACAAGACGGGAACCACGUUUGGGCUUCCCCGAGGCUCGACCGAUGGUGUGGACGGCAGCGCCUUGGCAGGUGGGAAGAGGAUACCAGAGGUGCCUGGAGCCCCCUUUCCAGGUAUCUGUGGGGUCCCCAAGGGUCCCCAAGGACGAGAUCUCCCUCCCCCAAAGCUGAGACAAGUUUUCCUAAUGCUGAACUGCCUCCACCUGCAUCAGGUCCCGGGGUGCAAAGCUCGAGUUGCCAGAAAAAUGAUGGAUUCUCUUCCGGGAAGAAGUUUGAGGCCACAUAAUAGUAACUAACGUUGUUUGCUUACUCUGUGCUAAGCAUUUUUAUGCAGCGAUUCAUUUAUUCCUCACAACAACCCUAUGAAUCUUGUGAAAUAGGAAUUCUUACCAUCCCUGCUUUAUAACAGACCGCAGAAGGUGCGCAGAGAGGUUCAGCAACUUGCUCAGGGUCACCCAGCUGGUAAAUGGUAGGGCCCGAGUUUAAAUAAUUGCCCCAGGGCCUGUGCUAGUAACAACCACUGUUCCCACCAGUUGAGAGAUGCUGCUUCUAGAAUGUCAACGAGGUGGAGCUCUGGAAAGUGUGGAAGUCAGGGCAAGUCAGGACCUUCCUAAAUGUUCUGAUUUGGUCAGAAAGAGCUGGGGACAAACGGGCUGGUGUAUCCAGCCUCACUAGGAACUGUGUAUGUGCUGGCUGUUUUGGACAUGUGGCGGGUGGUUAACUCUGUCCCGUCACUCUCAGGGAGGGCUCCCUGGCAGUUGGGCUUACCGGAAAGGGAUAGUGGCAGGAGGUGGGGAUCGUAGUCGGUCUGCUACCGAGUGUGAGUCUGAAAGGAGAAGACAGAGGUUUGAGAGGACAUGCCAGGGCCUCGCCUGAGAGUCAGGGAGUGGGGUCAGUCCCACCUUCACUGCCCCAGGAAGUAUGCCAGGCACUUGCAGGCCUCCUGCUCUGAAGUCUGGAAGGCCAGUUCAUUGAUAGCAAGGUUGGCCAGACUGUCAAAGAGUGAGAAGCUGUGCCCCAUCCGGGACAUCCCUCUCCUGGCACGGAGGCAUGGGGAGUGGAAUGAGCCAUUAGAGGUUGCUCCUGGGGAGAGGGCAAUGAAAACGCCAAGGUUCUUGGACAAUUUGGGGACUCGUUUCUCUGGGGGUGUGGAAAAGAGCUAAAUGCACCACCUCCCCUGUGCACAUUCUUUGCCAGGUUCACUUUGCACUGAUUUAAAUGUCCCUCUAGGCUAACCCUUGCUUGCGGGUUCCACUACCUUUGUGCAAACAGCCCCUACGGUGCCACUUUAUGCCCAGCACGUUUGCCUUCAGUCAGGCAGGAAGCGCCUUUUCCCCAUGACCCCUAACCCUGGAACCUAUCGAUACAACGAGGGGCCUGACACUGGGCAACUUACAGGCGGUGCCUCCCCACCCACCAUCAAAGGACCUUGAUAAGGGCACAGAGCAGUCCUGGGGCUAUACCUGGGUCCCCUGGACUGUAUCUGGGCCUUUCCAGGCCAACCCACAGAGUACAGUACUCCUUCAGACGGACAAGCCAGCGUGGUGGGACAUGCAUCGCUUUUGUGUGUUCCUCUGUGGCUCCGCCGCUGACUUGCUGUGUGACCUUGGUCAAGUCACUUAACUUUCCUGUGCUUUCGUCUUGUCAUCAGCAAAAUGGCGAUAUGCUAAUAACCACUUCAGAAGGUUGUUACAAGAAUUAAAGUGAGUUCAUGCAUGCGAAAUGUCUGGCACAUGGUUAAGUGCUUAAUAAAUAUGGGCUUCUGCUUUGACUGCA
ensembl:lncRNA